rnacentral:rRNA from 1 species
GACGAACGCUGGCGGCGUGCUUAACACAUGCAAGUCGAGCGAUGAGACUUCUUCGGAAGUGGAUUAGCGGCGGACGGGUGAGUAACACGUGGGCAACCUGCCUUGCAGAGGGGGAUAGCAUUCCGAAAGGAAGAUUAAUACCGCAUAACAUAGCGAACUCGCAUUGGUUUGCUAUAAAAGAUUGAUCGCUACAAGAUGGGCCCGCGUCGCAUUAGCUAGUUUGUGAGGUAACGGCUAACCAAGGCCGCGAGGCGUAGCCGACCUGAGGGGGUGAUCGGCCACAAUGGAACUAAGACACGGUCCAGACUGCUACGGGAGGCAGCAGUGGGGAAUAUUGCACAAUGAGCGAAAGCCUGAUGCAGCAACGCCGCGUGAGUGAUGAAGGUCUUCGGAUUGUAAAGCUCUUUGAUUAGGGACGAUAAUGACGGUACCGAAAGAACAAGCCACGGCUAACUACGUGCCAGCCGCCGCCGUAA